GACGAACGCUGGCGGCGUGCUUAACACAUGCAAGUCGAACGGAAAGGCCCUGCUUUUGUGGGGUGCUCGAGUGGCGAACGGGUGAGUAUCACGUGAGUAACCUGCCCUUGACUUUGGGAUAACUUCAGGAAACUGGGGCUAAUACCGGAUAGGAGCUCCUGCUGCAUGGUGGGGGUUGGAAAGUGUCGGCGGUUGGGGAUGGACUCGCGGUUUAGCAGCUUGUUGGUGGGGUAGUGGCUUACCAAGGCUAUGACGGGUAGCCGGCCUGGGAGGGUGACCGGCCACAUUGGGACUGAGAUACGGCCCAGACGCCUACGUGGGGCAGCGGUGAGAAAUAGUGCACGAUGGGCGGAGGCCUGAUGCAGCAACGCCGCGUGCGGGAUGACGGCCUGCGGGGUGUAAACCGCUUGCGCCUGUAACGAAGCGUGAGUGACGGUAAUGGGUAAAGAAGCACCGGCUAACUACGUG
rnacentral:rRNA from 1 species